rnacentral:rRNA from 1 species
UGUAAGCGUAUACCAAAGUUGUUGCAGUUAAAACGCUCGUAGUCGGAAUUUGGCAGUUCCGGAUGUGUGCACGUCGUGUGCGCACUUCGCGGGGAUUGCUUUUGUGGUCUUGCGUAGGAUGAGGCACUUUUAUUAGUGAACGUCCUCACGCAACCACUUUUUACUGUGAGAAAAUCAGAGUGCUCAGAGCAGGCAUUUGCCGUGAAUGUAUUAGCAUGGAAUAAUAGAAUAGGACUUGGUUCUAUUUUGUUGGUUUGUUGGGACUGAGUAAUGAUUAAGAGGGACAGUUGGGGGCAUUUGUAUUUCGGUGCUAGAGGUGAAAUUCUUAGAUUACCGAAAGACAAACUGCUGCGAAAGCGUCUGCCAAGGAUGUUUUCAUUGA